ACUCCUACGGGAGGCAGCAGUAGGGAAUCUUCCACAAUGGACGCAAGUCUGAUGGAGCAACGCCGCGUGAGUGAAGAAGGGUUUCGGCUCGUAAAGCUCUGUUGGUAGUGAAGAAAGAUAGAGGUAGUAACUGGCCUUUAUUUGACGGUAAUUACUUAGAAAGUCACGGCUAACUACGUGCCAGCAGCCGCGGUAAUA
rnacentral:rRNA from 1 species